rnacentral:rRNA from 1 species
UAGGGAAUCUUCCACAAUGGGCGCAAGCCUGAUGGAGCAACACCGCGGUGAGUGAAGAAGGGUUUCGGCUCGUAAAGCUCUGUUGUUGGAGAAGAACGUGCGUGAGAGUAACUGUUCACGCAGUGACGGUAUCCAACCAGAAAGUCACCGGCUAACUACGUGCC